AGGAAAAGCAAAACAAGCAUCAUAUAUUUGGCACAUUUAUGAGACUUGUGAAAGGGAUAAAAUCCAUAAUUAAUUACACUUAAACAGGGAGGGUUUGAAGUGAACAUUUUAACCUUUCUAUAUUGCUCAUCAUAGGGAUGGUGCCAAUGGGGAGGCUAGUGGUAGUACCCGGCACUAUUUGACCCAACUAUUCGGUGUAGGGUAUAUUAGGGACGGCACAAGAGGGAGGCUAGUGGUAGUACCUCGUGCCCCUUCCAACUCCACCGGAUAGGGAGCAAAUAGAGUAUAGAGCAUAAGAAAGUAAAAAUGAAUGACAAAGUAAAUGAAAGU
rnacentral:lncRNA from 1 species